GAUUGAACGCUGGCGGCAGGCCUAACACAUGCAAGUCGAGCGGUAGCACAGAGAGCUUGCUCUCGGGUGACGAGCGGCGGACGGGUGAGUAAUGUCUGGGAAACUGCCUGAUGGAGGGGGAUAACUACUGGAAACGGUAGCUAAUACCGCAUAACGUCGCAAGACCAAAGUGGGGGACCUUCGGGCCUCAUGCCAUCAGAUGUGCCCAGAUGGGAUUAGCUAGUAGGUGGGGUAACGGCUCACCUAGGCGACGAUCCCUAGCUGGUCUGAGAGGAUGACCAGCCACACUGGAACUGAGACACGGUUCAGACUCCUACGGGAGGCAGCAGUGGGGAAUAUUGCACAAUGGGCGCAAGCCUGAUGCAGCCAUGCCGCGUGUGUGAAGAAGGCCUUCGGGUUGUAAAGCACUUUCAGCGGGGAGGAAGGCGGUGAGGUUAAUAACCUCACCGAUUGACGUUACCCGCAGAAGAAGCACCGGCUAACUCCGUGCCAGCAGCCGCGGUAAUACGGAGGGUGCAAGCGUUAAUCGGAAUUACUGGGCGUAAAGCGCACGCAGGCGGUCUGUCAAGUCGGAUGUGAAAUCCCCGGGCUCAACCUGGGAACUGCAUUCGAAACUGGCAGGCUAGAGUCUUGUAGAGGGGGGUAGAAUUCCAGGUGUAGCGGUGAAAUGCGUAGAGAUCUGGAGGAAUACCGGUGGCGAAGGCGGCCCCCUGGACAAAGACUGACGCUCAGGUGCGAAAGCGUGGGGAGCAAACAGGAUUAGAUACCCUGGUAGUCCACGCUGUAAACGAUGUCGAUUUGGAGGUUGUGCCCUUGAGGCGUGGCUUCCGGAGCUAACGCGUUAAAUCGACCGCCUGGGGAGUACGGCCGCAAGGUUAAAACUCAAAUGAAUUGACGGGGGCCCGCACAAGCGGUGGAGCAUGUGGUUUAAUUCGAUGCAACGCGAAGAACCUUACCUGGUCUUGACAUCCACAGAACUUAGCAGAGAUGCUUUGGUGCCUUCGGGAACUGUGAGACAGGUGCUGCAUGGCUGUCGUCAGCUCGUGUUGUGAAAUGUUGGGUUAAGUCCCGCAACGAGCGCAACCCUUAUCCUUUGUUGCCAGCGGUUAGGCCGGGAACUCAAAGGAGACUGCCAGUGAUAAACUGGAGGAAGGUGGGGAUGACGUCAAGUCAUCAUGGCCCUUACGACCAGGGCUACACACGUGCUACAAUGGCAUAUACAAAGAGAAGCGACCUCGCGAGAGCAAGCGGACCUCAUAAAGUAUGUCGUAGUCCGGAUUGGAGUCUGCAACUCGACUCCAUGAAGUCGGAAUCGCUAGUAAUCGUAGAUCAGAAUGCUACGGUGAAUACGUUCCCGGGCCUUGUACACACCGCCCGUCACACCAUGGGAGUGGGUUGCAAAAGAAGUAGGUAGCUUAACCUUCGGGAGGGCGCUUACCACUUUGUGAUUCAUGACUGGGGUGAAGUCGUAACAAGG
rnacentral:rRNA from 1 species